CUAAGGCCGAGAGAGCGCUCAGGGCCACCUACGGGUAUUUAAGAGAGCGCUCAGUGUCGUCACUUCCGCUGUCUCGCCCUUUCCUCGGGGGCGCGGCUGCCCAAGGGAAGUAACAAGGGCCUUCUGCGCCGGUCAGGGGUAAAGAUCAAACCAAUGGCCAGAGGGAGAGCAAGAUCGUCUGUCUUCUCCAGGGCAAGAAUGAUAUUUGGUGUCACGUUAAAGAACUUCUCAGUCUCACGCUCUUUUCAGGACUUGGCUGACAUUCAGUCCUCACUCCCAGGAUAGAUGCCACUUGCUCACCACUUUCAUCCCACACUAACCUUGAGCUCUGCGUCCUGGACCUCCAUCUCAGACUUGUAAAGGUCAGGCUCAAAGGGACCACUGGUUAUCCGCAUGGGGCCAUUGGGCAUGAGCAGAACUGUAAAUUUAAACUGGGCAACAAAUUCA